rnacentral:lncRNA from 12 species
AACAGAGUCUGUGUUCCCAGGCAUGUUUUCUGUUCACAGAAAGGAAAAAAGGGAUAUGAGGUUCCUGGUCUGAAGUUCUAUCUUAGACAAUCUACCUGGCUGUUUGUCUCCCUACAAUCUGCUUGACUUGGUGUGACAUCUUCAGCAGGUAACUGUAAAACUCUAGUCUGUGUGAUCUUCAAUAAAGAGAUCAUCCCUCUACAACAGCAGAUAUACUAUUCUGUUGUACCAUGAUUACUAUGACUCUUAG